UAGGGAAUCUUCCACAAUGGGCGCAAGCCUGAUGGAGCAACACCGCGUGAGUGAAGAAGGGUUUCGGCCCGUAAAGCUCUGUUGUUGGAGAAGAACGUGCGUGAGAGUAACUGUUCACGCAGUGACGGUAUCCAACCAGAAAGUCACGGCUAACUACGUGCC
rnacentral:rRNA from 1 species